rnacentral:rRNA from 1 species
UACGUAGGGUGCAAGCGUUAAUCGGAAUUACUGGGCGUAAAGCGUGCGCAGGCGGUUUUGUAAGUCUGUCGUGAAAGCCCCGGGCUCAACCUGGGGAUUGCGAUGGAGACUGCAAGGCUUGAAUCUGGCAGAGGGGGGUAGAAUUCCACGUGUAGCAGUGAAAUGCGUAGAGAUGUGGAGGAACACCGAUGGCGAAGGCGGGCUACUGGGCCGAUACUGACGCUGAUGCGCGAAAGCCAGGGGAGCGAACGGG